GGCCUUGCGGAGCUCGGCGCCUUCAGCUCCGCCUCGCUGUUUCUCUUACGCAAGGGAGCAGGCCCCGGAGGAGGUCGGACGCGGCGGCAAUCGAGGGGGGCAGCGGCGUGGCUGAAGCGCUCGAGGCCAUUCUGGAUCUUUCGUGGGUGGAAAAGGCAGAACUAGUUAUGGCAAAGCACAAGAAAUACAAGAUUCAAACAUCAUCUGCACAAUUUCAUGAAUGAAGCAGGCCAACUGCAUGAUUAAUGCUUCUUCUAGAUCUGU